rnacentral:lncRNA from 1 species
AACCCUAUAAACACAUGAAACCUGCUGGGAAUUUCAGAUUGCAACAGAGCAGGAGCUGUACACCAUAAUCCCAGAAGAUAAUAUCUCAGGACAAUAACAUCCUUUCUACCAGCAAACGAUAUAGAAGAUGUUAUAUGCAACAACCCACGCCACAAAACCAUGAGCCUCCAAAACCGUCAACUGGGCAUUACAAAUUCUCCCGACAGUCGAUUUUGAGUGCACUCAACUCGGACAAAGGAACUCAAGUUUUUCACAAGCACAAAUAGAAUAAAAGCACGUCCACCCUAACCGAACUGUUCAGCACAACCAGCAACAAAUUAGACUAAAGUUCACUUCAAAUUCAAGAUGUGGACCGUGUUGUGUAAGGGUGGGGAAUCAUAGAUAGACGAACCAUGCUCCAGAACAGAUCAAUAACCAAGUUGAGACUGCUCUUAGAUCAACCAUGGUCCUUGGCCUCUCCUCCAAUUGACAGGCUGCUGCAGCUACACCAUCGCUGAUGGCUCCUUGGCCUAUGUGAUUAAAUAAAAUAGGAUAAAAUUCUAGUGAUGGUUAAGGUGAUCUGAUUGUACCAUCGCCAGUGAGGGGUCGGCGACGCCAAUGCCAUGUGCACCUUCCUGGCUAGCAUCCUCCUCUCCCUGUCAUCUUCGUCCAAUGAGCAAGGCUGGAGGGACAAUGCGGACGCGGAUCUGGUGUCCUGGGAGUGGUCAGCACAAGAUAUGGGAAAGUAAUCUGAGAAAUGGGAAAUAUGCCUUGUCGAGAUUUAACUCCAUAAACAGUCCAUGUCAUAGAAUUACACGAUCAUGUAUGAUGUAAGGACUCAAGCACUGUUACAUUGUCCUAUGCCUAGACUUAUUAUUUACUCCCUUUGAUCAAUGGACAAUCAAAGUAAUUUAUCAGACGCUCCAUUACACAAACAGCAGUCGGAUACAACAAGAGCAUCAGUUAGUUUUCCUUCAUCAAUUAGCCUACAUAGACAAAUCAAAUCUAAUUGUCAAGAGAGGUUGCAAGAGAAAGGUCAUUCAAGAUCUGCACCAUAUGUGAUACUAAAUAUGUAUAUCCACAAUGAAAUAAGCACUGGACAACAAAACAAGGAUGAUUUGAUAUACCUUGCUUUUAGGAAUUCAAUUUUGACGUCAUUUGAUGAUUGAGCCAUGAAAAUAAGGACAUCUCCAAACCUAGGUGCAUGAAGCAAGGCAAUGAGCUAAAUUAAUGCAUCUAGUACAUAUUUUACUCACUCUACACUCUAGGCUUUCAUAGCAUCACAGUAAUCUCAGGUUACUCAUGGGAAAUAAAACAAAUCAAAGAGCAAGAUUUGCAUAUGGCGAAUGGAGGAAUGAAGCCAUACCUACAUGAGAAAUUCUUGCAUUCGUGCUACAAACCCCGAAAAGGAAAAUCAAACCUCCUCUCUAGAGCCUCUGCCCUGUUAAUUUCUUAGACACAUGAGCACCACAACGGAAGAUUCCUAAGACGGUUAUGCAAAACAAUGAUCUUGUGAGCACCUGCACACUAUAAAUCAUGAUAUAUUUCUUGUUUCUUACUGAGAUAUAAAAGUAGUGUAUUCAGUAACACGAUUUACCUGAGAAAUCAGGCUUAGUUUUCGAUCUUGUGAGCUAUUAGUAGGUAGCUCUGCUUUUAGAUAAAAAUCUAAAAAGAGGAGACACAUACAGAUAUAUCUCAGGAAUGAACACCAAAUAUGCUCAGUUGCUCAUUAUACAUGAACUAAGUUGCUCAAAAAAGAUACAUCUAGCCAUACAGAUGUUGCCCUUCCUAGUUCUUGAUGGUGCGCCAAGGAAAAAUAUCAAUAUCACUCAACAGUAAACAUUUGUACAUCCUUCUACACCAAAAUCAAAGUGCCACAUGCAUAUGUCAUAGGAGACGGAAUAAUUACAUUAAUAGUACUUAGGUAAUCGAAAAUUCUGUACUGAUCGAAAUUUAGACCAUAUGUCUCAGCAAGCAUAUUCUCCUAAUAAAGAAGGCGGGUCUAGGCACACCAAAAGUUCCAUCUGUGA